GCUUACGGACAUGCCAGCUGAAGAUUGCCCAAUCUUGUCUGAUCUCAGAAGCUAAGAAGGCUUGGGCCUGGUUAGUACUUGAAAGGGAGACUACAUGGGAAUACCAGGUGCUGUAAGCU
ensembl:rRNA 5S_rRNA 5S ribosomal RNA